rnacentral:tRNA from 1 species
UUAUGAGGUAAAUCCCUCUCUUUACA